UCGCACUAAAGAUUCUAGUUUGCGUUAUACAUAUAUAUUCUGAUGAAUAUAUCACACAGUUAUUAUUAUUUGAGAUAUUUUGCAACGGCAGUAGUUGGAGCGAGAGCAAUAGAAUUAAUUGUCCGUAAAAACCUAAGUAGCAACUGACUAUCUACGUACUGAAUAGCACGUGAAUAUAACCCUGCAACCUGCAUAGAGCCCCAGGAUUAGGUGAAAGCAACACAUUUUUGUGACACUGAAAUAAGCAUUACCUUAGAGAAUGGCAUACAGAAGCAGAGGUAGAGGUGGAUAUGGUUACAGAGGUGGACAUCAGCAUUAUUAUAACAAAGAAUCCAAUGAUGUGUUUCCUGUUAAAGGCCUUAUC
rnacentral:lncRNA from 1 species